UCAUGUUGACUUAUUGUUGUUGUGUAACAUAAAUGACCUCACGAUAUAUGACGUUUAAUAUAAUAUUGCAUGACUCCUUAUUUUUGACAUUUUCUCAAUAUAACUGGCAUAAUUUCCAAGUACAACUGUCCAUGGGUGAUUCUUGGUUUUUCCAAAUAAAUUCCAACAGAUUAAAUUGUUUUCUUUGACUUCUGUUAAUUUUCAUUGAGUAGCAGAGACGUAUAUGAUAUUGCCGUCUUGUGAGAUAAAAUGGAUAUUUUGUAUUUUGGCAUCAAAGUAAUUCUAUGUAUGUAAACCGGAGAUCCAUUAUUCAAGUGUGUCAUGAUAGUAGCCUCAACUAUUUGAGUUGCUAAUCGAGUGAUGGUCGAUCUUUUCCAUUACAUAGGCCAAUGGUUUGGUUAAUGUUCCAGAGCAGCAUAACAAGAGAUCCAACCUUAAGGACCAAUCUAUGGUGUCAGAAAUUAGUUAUUGUAAUAGCAUUAAAAUAUUUAAUAUCGACAUGGUUCGUCUAAGUUUAUUAGCUUGACAUCCAGUCUUGAAAUAUAAUCAUACCUUCAAUAUUAUCGAGAUCGAGUUGGCACCAUCUUUAGUACAAGUAGAUAUAUGGCAUCAACUUGAUAGGUGAUAGCACAGUUUUGUAAAUAUUCCUGGUGAUAAUUUUUUUAUAUCUACAUAGAAAAGAUGGAUAAUGGCUGAUAUUUUAUAAUCACCCGCCUUGAUAAGCAUGUAAAUAGGGAUCUACUGUUACAUCUAUUUUCACACACCCUACCAUCCCCAACAGUAAAAACCAGCUCACUGAAUGCUUUUCGUUCUUUCUGUUUGGAAGGGAGUGAAUCAGGAUUGGAUAGCAUCGUGUUGACCAACUCCAAGAAAAAUCUGAAGGAAAUUGAGGUAGUAACAUACCAAUCAGAGAUCGGGAGAUGAAUAGGCAAAUCGCCAUGCCUUGGCCACCAGCCUACAAGAUCGAAUAAAAGAUCCAUUGUUCGGGCGCUGGCACGAAGUUGGGAGACUACACGCCGCAUACAUGCGAGGAUCGGGUACCCACAUCCCACACGUCCGCUGGGUUCCUUGCGCUGGAUACCCUCGGAGAAGAUGGAAGAAAGGGUAGAGAUCACCGAAGUAGAGGGGUCGAUCGCAGGCUCCCAUCACACGCAUCGACCUGCAGCGAUCCCACACCUCUCAUGGAUUCAAUCAAGCGAGGCACGCUGGCGUCCUCACAUCAGGAGCGGAUUGAACCGAUUGCUCCACUCUUCUCCUUGCAUCGGUAGUGCAAGACUGGAUGGAUGAUUGGACAUGGUCACUCCUAUGGAUCACCUUUAGCGAAGACUAGUAGUGGAAGCGGUAUAGUGGGCUGGCUGACGGUCCAGUGAAGUAGAUGCCUUUGCUUUGGCCUCUAGAGCAGCAACACAUAGGAG
rnacentral:lncRNA from 1 species